rnacentral:rRNA from 1 species
UAGGGAAUAUUGCACAAUGGGGGAAACCCUGAUGCAGCGACGCCGCGUGAGUGAUGAAGGCCUUCGGGUCGUAAAGCUCUGUUGUAUGGGAAGAAAAAAAUGACGGUACCAUAUCAGAAAGGACCGGCUAACUUCGUGCCAGCAGCCGCGGUAAUACGAGGGGUCCUAGCGUUGUUCGGAAUCAUUGGGCGUAAAGAGUAUGUAGGCGGCUAGAUAAGUCAGGUGUGAAAUCCCCGGGCUCAACCCGGGAAGUGCAUUUGAUACUGUUUAGCUUGAGUAUGGAAGAGGGUAGUGGAAUUCCUGGUGUAGUGGUGAAAUACGUAGAUAUCAGGAGGAACACCGGUGGCGAAGGCGGCUACCUGGUCCUAUACUGACGCUGAGAUACGAAAGCGUGGGGAGCAAACAGGAUUAGAUACCCCUGUAGUCC